rnacentral:lncRNA from 1 species
UCCGUUUUCCUUUCUUUUUCUUUUUUACUUUUUGUUCUUCAAUUUCUGUUGGCACUUUCUCCUAUGCCACGUCACGGGAAAGACUUACCAAUUCCUUAAACAUAUAAGAUUAUUAAAUUAGAAUUGAAUCUUAAUAAAUUUUUAUUAUAAAUAUGUAGAAAUACAAUUCCUCCUGCAGUGGCAUGCGCGCACUUGAUGCAUUUAAAUGAAAGAAAGAAUCAUAAAAUAUAUUACUACAUAUAAAAAAAC